AAGACAAAAACACAAGAGGUCAUGCAUAGUGUUGGGCAAAUUUCAAAUGGAUUGAGGAUCAAAACUUCAAAUGGAAAAACAACAACAACAAAAACUUCAAAAGGCAGCAACUAUAAACAUUCAGCUUGGUAAAUGUGCAUCAUACCCAGAGAAUUUACCCUUGUAAUUUGUCCCCUCUGGGCAAACCUUUGAAAACUAAGAGGCUGAACCUCAGUAAUUGUUGUAUUUUCGCAGGAAAUUGCUUUGACCUUUACUUUCCCCUCCAAGGCCUCCUUGGUCCUUCAUUUCUUCUGUCCACCUUUUUUUCCCCUCAACUUUUUAGUACAUAUAAUCCCCACCUUACGAUUUUUCAAUUUAGGAUUUUAGGAUUUUUCAACUUUACAGUGGUGCACAAGGGAUUCACAUUCAGUAGAAACCCUAUUUCAAUUUUGAAUGUUAAUCUAUGCUCCCCCACUCCCCACCCCCACAGCUGCACGUGGUGCUGGGCAGCCCCAGUGAGCCACAGCUCCCAAUCAGCCCCCUGAUCAGGGGGGUUAACAACCGAUAUACUUAUAACCAUUCUGUACCCAUGCAGUCAUUCUGUGUUUACUUUCAGUACACAAUUCAAUAAAUUACAUGAGAUAGUCAACACCUGAUUAUAAAAUAGGGUUUGUGUUAGAUGAUUUGGCCCAACUGUAGGCUAAUGUUACGUGUUCUGAGCGUGUUUAAGGUAGGCUAGGCCAAGCUAUGAUGUUUGGUAGGUUAAGUAGGUGUGUUAAAUACAUUUUCAACUUAACAAUAUUUUCAGGACAUAGCCCUAUCAUCAUAAGUCAAGGAAGAUCUGUAUAGGAAAGCUGAGUAAGUUAUGGCUGUUGAUCGAGAAGGAGUGCCAACAUUACCUUGGUGGUAGAAUUUUUGGUCAAAACUUUCCUCACUUCUUGUUAAUUUUUACAAAUGACUUAAGGUGGUCAUUGUCCACUUCAUUUUGUUUUGUUUUGUUUAAAAUUUUAUUUACGUGGGGGAGCCUGGGUGGCUCAGUCGAUUAGUCUGCCUUCAGCUUAGGUCAUGAUCCCAGCAUCCUGAGAUGGAGCCCUAAGUCGGGCUCCCCGCUCAACGGGGAGUAUGGUUCUCCCUCUGCACCUCCCUCUACUCGUGCACUUGCACUCUCUCUCAAAUAAAUGCAAUCUUUAGAACAAAUUUUUUUUUUUACCUGAAUAAGCUAAGUAAAUUCACCAUUUCCAAUAUCUAAUUGUGAGGCAGUUGGUGGUAGAUAUCAGAGCUCUGCCUCUAAGGGGGCCACCACUAAGCACCUGUGUCCUUGCCCUAUCCUCCCCUCACCUAGGUCAGCUACACACUCCCUGACCCCAGACCCUAAAUACUGGGGACUGAGCAUGCUGCCUGUCAACAAAGUGCUCAUUUCCCUCUAUGACUGGCUUCUACAUCCAUCUCAACAAUGAAGAGUGAAAACAAAUACCUUCAAACAAGUUCGUGAGCCAGCUGGAAAGAAAGAAGGAUCCCCAAUAUUCAGGACAUCAUUUGAGGCAGGUUUCAUCACCGUCCUCUCCAAGAAUCUGGGGCUCCUGUCCUCUCUCCUCCUCUUUACCUUCUUCAGGCAUGACCCACCCUGGCACAGAGCUUCCCCAGUCAUUACAGUGACUGUCCUAGGAUUCAUGUGGAGGACAACUAUGUGUGUUUACAGCAGGGAAGAAGCAGGGGAUCCAAAAAAGAUGGAAGAUUUACCUGAAAGGGAACUGCAUAGAGAAGAGAAAAUGGAAAGGAUUCUCUGUUUUGGUGUUAUAAGGACUCAGUGGGGCUGGCUCAUUGCAGCUCAUGAGAAACAACUGUGUUCAUCCCUUCCCGGCUCUCUGUUCAGUGAAUCAAAUUGGUUACUUGAAAUGGACUGUUGUGGGAGUUGUUGCCCCACAGAAAUUGGCAAAUGCUAACAAUCAAGUCUUUUGUGGGGUUUGUUGUGUUUUCUUUUUCCUGAGAGUCAGUUUGCUAGCGCACCAUUGCCCCCACUCCACUCAGCCACUGCUCGGUGUUCUGAAGACAAAGAUUUGUUCUGAAUAGAAAGUGAAGGGAAUGGAAGCAUUUGAAAAACUACUUCAGGGGCGCCUGGGUGGCUCAGUCGUUAAGCGUCUGCCUUCGGCUCAGGUCAUGAUCUCAGGGUCCUGGGAUCGAGCCCCGCAUCGGGCUCCCUGCUCUACGGGAAGCCUGCUUCUCCCUCUCUCACUCCCCCUGCUUGUGUUCCCUCUCUCGCUGUGCCUCUCUCUGUCAAAUAAAUAAAUAAAAUCUUUAAAAAAAAAAAAAAAAAAAACUACUUCAAUCCUGCUAAGCAAUUGCUUAUACAUUGUCUAACCUUUUCUCUUUUUUCAAGAUUUAUUUAUUUUAGGGAGGGAGAGAGAGCACUGGAGCAAAAGGAGGGGCAGAGGGAGAGGGAGAGAAUCUUAAGCAGACUCCCCACUGAGAGAGGAGCCUGACACAGGGCUGGACCCUGACAUCAUGACCUGAGCCUAAAUCAACAGUCAGAUGCCUAACCGAUUGAGUCACCCAGGCACCCACUAACCUUAUUUUUAAAGUACUUCAAUUUAAUGUGUGGAAUAGAUUCUCAGAACAAACCUUUUGAUGAAAACCAAAGUUGGAUAAGAUUUUUUACUAUUUUUUUUAAAUGAAUCAUUGAGCUGGCAAGAAAUGAAGGAAAAAACAAAGUUAAGGUAGGACCCCUGCUAAGUGAGCAAGCUCCUAGAAAAUCUGUCAAACUGCAGUGUCCUUGAACUUCCACAUUGACAGGCGUGCUGUGAUGGAGACACAGAAGAUAAACCCUCAAGCCUACCCAAGAUCAUAAGCAAAGUAAGAACCUAUCCCAGUUUAAAUUGGCACAAUCACUAUGGAAAACAGUAAGGAGGUUCCUCAAAACAUUAAAAAUAGAACAACCAUAUGAUCGAGCAAUCUCACUUCUAGAGAUCCAAAGGAAAUGAAAUCACUAUCUCAAAAAGAUACGUGCACCCCCAAUAUUCAUUGCAGCAUAAUUCACAAUACCUAAGGCCUGUUUCCCGAGGCAUAUAAACAACCUAAGUGUCCACUGAAAGAUAAAUGAAUAAAGAUGUGGCAUAUAUGCAAUGGAAUAUUACUCAGCCAUAAAAAGAAGGAAAUCCUGCCAUUUGUGACAACAUGGAUGAAACUUGAGGGCACUAUGCUAAGUGACGUAAGUCAGACAGAGAAAGACUGUAUUAUCUCACAUAUAUGUAGGAUCUAAAAAAGCCAAAUUCACAAAAACAGAGAGUAGAUUUGUGGUUGCCAGGGGCUUUUUGUGAGGGAAAUGGAGGGCUGUUGGUCAAAGGAUACAGACUUUCAGUUACAAGAUAAAUAAGUUCUGGGGAUCUAAUGCAGAGCAUGGUGUCUAUAGUUAACAACACUGUAUUUUAUACCUGAAAAUUGUUAAAAGAGUAAAUCUUAAAUGUUCUCACCACACACACACAGAAGGGUAACUAUGUGAGGUGAUGGAUGUGUUAACUAACCUAAUGGUGAUAAUCAUGGUACAAUAUAUGCACAUAUCAAAUAAUCAUGCUAUACACCUUUUAAAAAAAAAUAUGGAAUGCUUCACAAACCUGCAUGUCACCUUUGCACACUAUCUUUCCAAUUUUAGUAUGUGUGCUGCCAGAGCAAGCACCCACUGUACAUCUUAAACUUACACAAUGUUACAUGUCAAUUAUACCUCAAUAGAGUUGGGAGAAAAUAAUUUCAUUUAAAAUAAAACACACAUAUUUUUUAAAAAAGAACCUCUUUCAUAAAACUGGGAUUCCAAAAGAACCAAAGUCAAGAUGAAUGUGAAAUUGACUUGCUGUACAGAAGAGGACCCCCGAAAAAUCUGCCUGUAUUGAUCCUGGUGCUGGAUGGAGAAAAACAAAAAGGAGAUAUGACUCUUCCUUGAGAGUUCGUAACUAUAGUGUGGCCUGCGUGGAAGAUUGUGAUCUAAAUUCAAGAUACCAUGG